rnacentral:tRNA from 1 species
GCGCGGGUAGCUCAGUAGUAGAGCGUUCGAUUGCAGAUCGAUUGGUCACUGGUUCAAUCUCGAUCUCGCGCU